UAAUUCCUUGGCAGAAUAUUGCAGAAGAAUNAGAAUCUUCCUAACUAAA
rnacentral:tRNA from 1 species